AAAUGGGAAUCGAAUCCUGUCUGCAUAAAGAUGCGUGUCGUUGACGUAUUGAUGAGCUUACGUAGCAACCGACCAACAGCAGCAGAAUAAAUAACAGGCGCACACCUGAAUAAGGUUGAUUUUCUCCAGACUUGAAGGCUCAAAA